GAGCGAUCAAGUGACCUAAGGGCAUCUGGUGGAUGCCUUGGCGGUAGGAGGCGAUGAAGGACGUGGUACGCUGCGAUAAGCUGCGGUGAGGCGCGAACAGCCGGUGACCCGCAGAUUUCCGAAUGGGGAAACCCACCUUCGAUAACUGGAACUUCGAGGUCGGAAGGCCUCGGGGAUCCACCCGGACGUCCGAGUUCGGAUUUCCGGUUAUCAACGAAGGUAUCUAAACCCUGAACACAUAGGGGUUUAGAGGCGAACCCGGGGAACUGAAACAUCUAAGUACCCGGAGGAAAGGAAAUCAACCGAGACUCCGUUAGUAGUGGCGAGCGAACGCGGACCAGGCCAGUGCUUCAGCGAGGACAACUGGAACCAUCUGGAAAGUUGGGCCUCAGAGGGUGAUAGCCCCGUACAGGUAAUGCCGAGCUGAAGCCUUGAGUAGGGCGGGACACGUGAAAUCCUGUCCGAAUAUGGGGGGACCACCCUCCAAGCCUAAGUACUCCCUACCGACCGAUAGCGCACAAGUACCGUGAGGGAAAGGUGAAAAGAACCCCGACGAGGGGAGUGAAAGAGAACCUGAAACCGGAUGCCUACAAACAGUCGGAGCCCGCAAGGGUGACGACGUACCUUUUGUAUAAUGGGUCUGCGACUUAGUCUGACGAGCAAGCUUAAGCCGAUAGGUGUAGGCGCAGCGAAAGCGAGUCUGAAUAGGGCGUUUAGUUCGUCGGACUAGACCCGAAACCAGUCGAUCUAUCCAUGGCCAGGUUGAAAGCAGGGUAACGCCUGCUGGAGGACCGAACCGGUGACUGUUGCAAAAGUCUCGGAUGAGCUGUGGAUAGGGGUGAAAGGCUAAUCAAGGCUGGAAAUAGCUGGUUCUCCGCGAAACCUAUUUAGGUAGGACCUCGAGUGAAUACCCCAGGGGGUAGAGCACUG
rnacentral:rRNA from 1 species